rnacentral:rRNA from 1 species
AACGAACGCUGGCGGCAUGCCUAACACAUGCAAGUCGAACGAGACCUUCGGGUCUAGUGGCGCACGGGUGCGUAACGCGUGGGAAUCUGCCCUUGGGUUCGGAAUAACAGUUGGAAACGACUGCUAAUACCGGAUGAUGACGUAAGUCCAAAGAUUUAUCGCCCAAGGAUGAGCCCGCGUAGGAUUAGCUAGUUGGUGAGGUAAAGGCUCACCAAGGCGACGAUCCUUAGCUGGUCUGAGAGGAUGAUCAGCCACACUGGGACUGAGACACGGCCCAGACUCCUACGGGAGGCAGCAGUGGGGAAUAUUGGACAAUGGGCGAAAGCCUGAUCCAGCAAUGCCGCGUGAGUGAGGAAGGCCUUAGGGUUGUAAAGCUCUUUUACCCGGGAUGAUAAUGACAGUACCGGGAGAAUAAGCUCCGGCUAACUCCGUGC